rnacentral:rRNA from 1 species
AGAAUCUUCCGCAAUGGGCGAAAGCCUGACGGAGCGACACCGCGUGCAGGAUGAAGGCCUUAGGGUUGUAAACUGCUGUCACGCUAUAGGAAUGCUGCAGUGUGAAUAGUGCUGUAGUUGACCAAAGCGAGAGGAAGAGCCGGCUAACUCCGUGCCAGCAGCCGCGGUAAGACGGAGGGCUCAAACGUUGUUCGGAAUCACUGGGCAUAAAGCGCACGUAGGCGGCCUGUUAAGUCGGAUGUGAAAGCCCUCGGCCCAACCGGGGAACUGCAUCCGAGACUGGCAGGCUGGAGGAUGGCAGGGGUGAGUGGAACUCCAGGUGGAACGGUGAAAUGUGUAGAUAUCUGGAGGAACACCGGUGGUGAAAGCGGCUCACUGGGCCAUCACUGACGCUGAGGUGCGAAAGCCAGGGUAGCAAA